AUGGAGACCAGCGCCAGCGGGGCGGAGCCCGCGAACGCCGGGAUCGAGGGGUCCGCCGACCCAUGCAGCUCCGCGGGCGGCGGUCAUCGACUCUCAGUGCACCAGAUCGUUGGCGGCGGCAAAGCUGCUGAUAUCAUCUUAUGGAAGUGUAAACGUGCUACUGUUGGUGUUAUAUUUGGUGCUACUAUUGCAUGGUGGUUGUUCGAGAAGUCCGAACUAUCGUUCUUGACUAUCUGCUGUGAUGUACUGCUCAUUUUGAUAGUUGUACAGCUCAUAUGGGUCAAAAUAUCUGGGUUGCUAAAUAAGCAACCUAGGCAACUGCCUGAGUUAGUUCUGUCAGAGGAGAUGGUUAAUAAUGCUGCGGCUUCAUUCCGUGUUAAAGUGAACAACAUGCUAAUGAUUGCACAUGACAUUACUCUUGGCAAAGACUUCCGGCUCUUUUUCCAGGUUGUGUCAGUCCUGUGGUUGCUAUCUGUUAUUGGCAAUUUCUACUCUUCUGUAACUCUUGCUUAUAUAGGAACCAUUGCUUUGGUGACAGUACCUGUACUUUACCAUAGACACCAAGAGCACGUGGACAGGUAUGCUGGGAUGGUCCACCGGAAUAUCUCAAGGCAUUACAAGAUCGUCGACGAAAAUGUGAUAAGCAGACUACCUAGAAGCUUCAUCAGAGAUAAAAAUGAUUGA
rnacentral:rRNA from 1 species